ACGAACGCUGGCGGCGUGCUUAACACAUGCAAGUCGAACGGAAAGGCCCCCAUCUUGGUGGGGGUGCUCGAGUGGCGAACGGGUGAGUAACACGUGGGUGAUCUGCCCUGUACUUCGGGAUAAGCUUGGGAAACUGGGUCUAAUACCGGAUAGGACCAUGGUUUAGUGUCUCAUGGUGGAAAGAUUAUUGUUUUGGUGCAGGAUGAGCUCGCGGCCUAUCAGCUUGUUGGUGGGGUAAUGGCCUACCAAGGCGUCGACGGGUAGCCGGCCUGAGAGGGUGGACGGCCACAUUGGGACUGAGAUACGGCCCAGACUCCUACGGGAGGCAGCAGUGGGGAAUAUUGCACAAUGGGCGCAAGCCUGAUGCAGCGACGCCGCGUGGGGGAUGACGGCCUUCGGGUUGUAAACUCCUUUCGUUAGGGACGAAGCCGCACUUUUUUUGGGUGUGGUGACGGUACCUUUGUUAAGAAGCACCGGCUAACUACGUG
rnacentral:rRNA from 1 species